rnacentral:lncRNA from 1 species
UCCUCCUCUUCAUCAUGUUCUUCCCCUUCUGUGUUUCCUGGAGUGAUCUGUUGAUCUGAUAGUGAUUUAACGUUAAAUAUUAAUUUUGAUGAAUGAAAAAUCAAAGAGCCCCUCGGGUCACGGUGCGGUCAGAGCUGGACAGGUUUGUUUGCUUUGGGCUGUGAGUUAAUCAGAAGCUGUUUCUGAGCACCUGAAGCAGGAAGCUUGGUUUUUCUGGGACGAACUUCCGUCUCAGAAACAUGCAGCAGGAAUCCACCGACGGUGAUUCCUUUAUUAACCGAGAGCUCAGGUCUGAAGCAGCGUCUGCCCUCAGCUCGCCUCAGACAUGUCAGCAUCCUCGGCUGUAGCCGACCCGGCGGGCGGCGUGUUCGUGGUCACACAUGUGAUCCCAGCACCUGCUGCUCCUCACAGCCAGCCAGAGGACGCCCUGUUCAGAGGACGAUGGCCACAGGUCCUCGCGGUGAGACCCACACACACACAGACAGACACACACAGACAGACGCACACACACAGACAGACACACACAGACAGAGAGACACAGACACAGAGACAGACACACACACACACACAGACAGACAGACAGACACACACACACAGAGAGACACACACAGACACAGAGACAGACAGACACACACAGACACACACACACAGACAGACAGACACACACACACACAGAGACACACACAGACACAGACACACAGACACACACACACACACACACACAGACACAGACAGACACACAGACACAGACAGACACACACACACACAGAGACACACACAGACACACAGACACAGACAGACACACACACACAGAGACACACACACACACACAGACACAGACAGACACACACACACAGACACACACAGACACACAGAGCUCAGACUGGUCCACAGACUCUGUGCAGUGAGGCUCUGUGUGUGUUCUGCUCCACAGACGCUGCAGAUCGUGUCCGGCCUCAUGCUCCUUCUCUUUGGAGUCAUGAUGUUUCCGUGUUAUGAGAUGAGGAGCAUCUUCGUCUGGCAGGCCGUGUUUCUCGUGUCCGGCAGAUCUCUGGUGGUGGCUGCUUAG